UCUGCAAUGUAAAAUUUCACUUUGUAGAGGUGGUGCCUAACGGAUCACAGUGUUGAUGCCCCUAUUAAAAUAAACAAGGAACAACAGAAGAUCGCGAAUAACUUGCGAAUGUUCAUAUCCGCAAAAUUUGUGGUGUGUGGCCUAAUUUGCAACCCUAGCGUCAUCUACUAGCGGGCGGAUAGAAGGUAGCCAGCGCCACCUGAUGGUUAGAAUUCGCCUCCUGCCAAUGAAAGAAACAGCAAGCGGACACGAAGUGACAACUGUGGCUACCACCAUAUGUUUUGUUGGUGCCCGCUGGAAUCCAAAUUUGAUGAUGGAGGCGAAUCCAAGCCAAGCCGGCCGUUGACCCAAAGGAGCGUCUUUAUUUUUCGAUUGGGACUUGGCUGCUAAUGGAGGUGGAGUUCAGCGAAAGACAAGAGGAAAAAAACAGCAGAAAAAAAUGUUAUGAAUUUGUUUUAUUGAACUUUGUUUUUUUGAAAUGAAAAUGAAUGUGAUACAAAAUGUAAA